AGAGUUUGAUCAUGGCUCAGAUUGAACGCUGGCGGCAUGCCUUACACAUGCAAGUCGAACGGUAACAGGUCUUCGGAUGCUGACGAGUGGCGAACGGGUGAGUAAUACAUCGGAACGUGCCCGAUCGUGGGGGAUAACGAGGCGAAAGCUUUGCUAAUACCGCAUACGAUCUACGGAUGAAAGCGGGGGAUCUUCGGACCUCGCGCGGACGGAGCGGCCGAUGGCAGAUUAGGUAGUUGGUGGGAUAAAAGCUUACCAAGCCGACGAUCUGUAGCUGGUCUGAGAGGAUGAUCAGCCACACUGGGACUGAGACACGGCCCAGACUCCUACGGGAGGCAGCAGUGGGGAAUUUUGGACAAUGGGCGAAAGCCUGAUCCAGCCAUGCCGCGUGCAGGAUGAAGGCCUUCGGGUUGUAAACUGCUUUUGUACGGAACGAAAAGCCUCUUUCUAAUAAAGAGGGGUCAUGACGGUACCGUAAGAAUAAGCACCGGCUAACUACGUGCCAGCAGCCGCGGUAAUACGUAGGGUGCAAGCGUUAAUCGGAAUUACUGGGCGUAAAGCGUGCGCAGGCGGUUUUGUAAGACAGAGGUGAAAUCCCCGGGCUCAACCUGGGAACUGCCUUUGUGACUGCAAGGCUGGAGUGCGGCAGAGGGGGAUGGAAUUCCGCGUGUAGCAGUGAAAUGCGUAGAUAUGCGGAGGAACACCGAUGGCGAANGCAAUCCCCUGGGCCUGCACUGACGCUCAUGCACGAAAGCGUGGGGAGCAAACAGGAUUAGAUACCCCGGUA
rnacentral:rRNA from 1 species